rnacentral:rRNA from 1 species
UACGAAGGGGGCUAGCGUUGUUCGGAAUUACUGGGCGUAAAGGGCGCGUAGGCGGUGUGUCAAGUCAGGCGUGAAAGCCCCGGGCUCAACCCGGGAACUGCGUCCGAUACUGGGAGGCUUGAAUCCGGGAGAGGGAUGUGGAAUUCCAGGUGUAGCGGUGAAAUGCGUAGAUAUCUGGAGGAACACCGGUGGCGAAGGCGGCAUCCUGGACCGGUAUUGACGCUGAGGCGCGAAAGCCAGGGGAGCAAACGGG